GAUGAACGCUAGCGGAAGGCAUAAUACAUGCAAGUCGAACGGAUGUAGCAAUACAUUAGUGGCGCACGGGUGCGUAACGCGUAUGCAACCUACCUUCAUCAGGGGGAUAACUACCCGAAAGGGUGGCUAACACCGCAUAAUACUAUUGAGUGGCAUCACUUGAUAUUUAAAUCUGAGGAGGAUGAAGAUGGGCAUGCGUCUGAUUAGCUAGUUGGUGUGGUAACGGCGCACCAAGGCGACGAUCAGUAGGGGAACUGAGAGGUUGGUCCCCCACACUGGAACGGAGAUACGGGCCAGCUGCCUACGGGAGGCAGCAGUAGGGAAUAUUGGUCAAUGGUGGGAACACUGAACCAGCCAUUCCGCGUGCAGGAAGAAGGGUCUCUGACUUGUAAACUGCUUUAGCAAGGGAAGAAAAAGCUCAUGCGUGAGAAAUCGACGGUACCUUGAGAAUAAGCACCGGCUAACUACGUGCCAGCCGCCGCAGUAAAAC
rnacentral:rRNA from 1 species